rnacentral:rRNA from 1 species
UAAGGAAUAUUGGUCAAUGGACGCAAGUCUGAACCAGCCAUGCCGCGUGAAGGAUGAAGGUCCUCUGGAUUGUAAACUUCUUUUAUCUGGGACGAAAACGGGAUUUUUAUCUCAAUUGACGGUACCAGAGGAAUAAGCACCGGCUAACUCCGUGCCAGCAGCCGCGGUAAUACGGAGGGUGCAAGCGUUAUCCGGAUUCACUGGGUUUAAAGGGUGCGUAGGUGGGCAGGUAAGUCAGUGGUGAAAUCUCCGGGCUUAACCCGGAAACUGCCGUUGAUACUAUUUGUCUUGAAUAUUGUGGAGGUAAGCGGAAUAUGUCAUGUAGCGGUGAAAUGCUUAGAUAUGACAUAGAACACCAAUUGCGAAGGCAGCUUACUACACAAUCAUUGACGCUGAGGCACGAAAGCGUGGGGAUCAAACA